rnacentral:rRNA from 1 species
UACGUAGGGUGCAAGCGUUGUCCGGAAUUAUUGGGCGUAAAGAGCUCGUAGGCGGUUUGUUGCGUCGGCUGUGAAAUCCCGAGGCUCAACCUCGGGUCUGCAGUCGAUACGAGCAAACUAGAGUGUUGCAGGGGAGACUGGAAUUCCUGGUGUAGCGGUGAAAUGCGCAGAUAUCAGGAGGAACACCGGUGGCGAAGGCGGGGUCUCUGGGCCGAUACUGACGCUGGAGGGUGCG